UUUUUCACGUUCAGAUGUUUCUCAACUAUUAAUAGGUAUAUUUUAGGGGAACAAUCAAGAAGAGAGAAAUUUUCUUUUACAUAGUGGGGUUUUCUCAGGCGAUUGCUAAUCUCAAUUGACUGGAGGCAAAGGAGUUGAGGAGUUCCAAUUUGUUUGUCAGCUCACUUGGAAGAUGACCCAUGUGUUGCAUUCAGGAGAUUAUCGAUGUUUGUCAGCUCGCUUUACUUUGGGCUUCCUGUUCUAUGUUCGGAAGUUUGGAACACAGCUCAUUUCUGCAGCAGGGGCAUACUAGUUAAGGGUGUUUUGAGUUUCAGGAGCUAUUACAAAUGUACAACAGUUGCCUUUUGCCCACAUUAUCCCAUUGGCUAUCAACAGUUGCCUUUUGCCCACAUUAUCCCAUUGGCUCCCCAGGUUUAUGUAUGGUAGAAUUGAGGCCAGUCACCACCUACAGCAGUGAUGCCCUUUUCCUCAACCAAAUGACUCCUGUUUCGGGUAUGUUAAGUUCAAUUUUGUAGUGUUUGCUUUGGAAAUUUUCUCGCUUUGUUUUGUUUUUACUCUCAGGCGGGAUCUCUGCUGGAAUUGGCUGUGGGUUUGGCUUUCUAUAUUGCUGGGAAUGGAGUGUUUUGCUCAUUGUUUUAGUGAUAAAAUUUGCUAUGGGAUUAGCUUGUUAUAUUGCUGGGAAUGGAGAAUUUUGCACAUUGUAAUAUUGCUGGAAUUUGUUGGGCAUUUGGGAUGUGCUUAUUUUAUGUGAUCAUAGGAUGCCCAGGAAGUUGAGAGGAAAUUUUAUGAGAUGGCUAUAUGACACCACAAGCCUUUUAAUGGGAUUGUUUGGUAUAUGUGAUUUGGGAUGUCUAAUAAAUCUGUGUAUCGAAACUGAGAAUGACAUGGAUAAGUGGCAAUCCAGAAAAAUCAACAUAUUUUUUGGGACUCUAUUUGGUGCAUGCGGACAGAGCACAAUGCAUAAGAUACAGCUCAAUGUCUCUCCUUGUUCUCCCGACUCAUUCUAUCUUUUCUUUUUAUCUGUAUUCUAUUUUUGCAUAC